GUCAACGACUCGUGCGGGGAGCGGAGUCUUCGUCGUCGCCUCGUCAGCCUUCAAAGGAGGAAAAUCGAAUUUCAGAAGUUGGAAAAGUCAUUUCUCGUUGCGAAGUGUCCGCAAGCUGUAAGGAGUCCGUUCGCGGUGUGAAUUUUGCGUCCCAGCCAGUUCCGUGUGGUUUCCUUUGAUUCUCGCCCUAAGUGCGAAGCGAGCGCGUCGAAAACCGUGAAAAGUCCCAGCGCAGGGAAAAUCCCAGUCCGUGAAAAUUGCAAGUGAUCCUCAGUGGCUCGAAUUUGGCUCGGCUCGUGGCAGUGCAGUGAUUCCGUGCGAGGAGUCAGCCGUUUCUCCAGCGAACUUGUGUGUUGUGAGGGUCCGUGGGUGCAUUUCGCGGCGGUAAAGCGGCCAAGCUACGCGGGUGAAAGUUGCCUGUCGCGUCGAGGACGGACGGAGAGUUCUGUUCUAGAGUUUUUCGCUGCAACCACGGUGCGAAUCCGUCCGAUAUAGUUUCUACCCAAUUCCGAUGUGUAUGGCUAUUCCGCUGGUUCGACUUGUUCUCACCUCUAUGGAGUUUCACCUAGACAGCGCAGAGUACUGCCAGGCCCAGCACAAAUAAGCACACCGGGAGCUAUUGAAACCGAACAUAUUUUUUUACGUAUUUGUCAUCAAUAUUAUACAAAAAACGAUCGUAGGCAAUCCGAAAUAACUCACUAUUCAAACAAAAAUUAGUUAUUUUCAUUUAUUUUUAAUUUUUAUGUGGUGAAACUUGAUAAUUCUAAUCGUUGACAUCAUCAUCAAUUGAAUAAUUCUCUAAAAAAAGGCGAAAUUAACCAAGAAAAAUUACCAAAGGCCUUCAACUAUACAUUUUUAUUAAACAGACAAAUCUAUUGCAAAGACUCUCUCGUUAAAAAAAAGGUUUAAAUAAACUGGAUGCUUGACUUAUUAGUAAACAAACCAAGAAACUAAAAAAAGAAUCUAUAUUUAAAGAACAACUAUCUUACUCCAAUAAAAAUCAAGGAAUACAUACACGGUAUUGCCAUAAUUUAAAAGAAAACAACUAGAAAAGUAAUAAAAGAUCGGCCACAAAAAGGAUAAGUUUAAAUAAACUCUAACGGAAUAUUCUGUUUGGUUAUUUAGUGAAAAAGAAAAACAACAUCUUGAUAUAUAUAAAAUCAACAAAUAAUAAAAUCCAUAAGUAAAGGCAUACAUAUUUAAUUCUCGUGUAUAAAUAGUUAAUUUAAUGACAAGCAUCAUGCGUCAGAAGGACAUUAGACCCGCACCAGCACGUAUUGAAUUUAAAGGAAUGCAGUUCCUAAUUACUGAUCGGCCUUCAGAUAUUACUAUAAAUCACUAUAUACAGGAACUGAAAAAGCACAAUGUCAGCACGGUGGUACGUGUAUGCGAACCAAGCUAUAAAACUGAUGAGUUGGAAGCGCAAGGAAUCGCCGUGAAAGACUUAGCAUUUGAAGAUGGGACAUUUCCACCACAGAAAAUUGUUGAUGAAUGGUUUGAAACAUUGAAACAAAACUACUCACAGAAUCCUGAAGCUUGUGUGGCGGUACAUUGCGUAGCUGGCUUAGGACGAGCACCUGUUUUAGUUGCAUUGGCUCUAAUUGAACUUGGUCUCAAGUAUGAGGCUGCUGUGGAAAUGAUUAGAGACAAACGCCGAGGAGCUAUCAACGCUAAGCAGCUAUCAUAUCUAGAAAAAUACAAGCCAAAAUCGCGACUAAAGCACAAAAAUGGUCACAAGAAUUCGUGCUGUGUGCAAUAGAUAUCAAAAAUUCCCACCAGAUAAAAAGUGUUCAUUUACCGAUUAUCCAAAAUAUAUUAAAUUAAACUAAAGAAAAUUUAAAUAAUCUAAAUAGAAGAUGGCAAACCAAGCUGAAACCAUACAUAACUGCAACUGAAACAAAUAACUAACGAUGAGAGACCAUAGCAAAUGGAACUAUCGCCGAAUCACAAUAGACAGCAAUCCAACCACACUAGCAACUACCACAAUAUUCACGUAACUCUUCAACGAUAUAUAAAUGAUAAUGGGUAAAAUGGGUAUAAUUAAACAAUAACGUAAUGUCGAUAAUGUAGACCCCAUCCGCUUGGAAUGCACUAAGGAUAUCGACUCCAACCAAGAACACACGAGAAAGACGCAUUGCGACGACGCAAAUUAUCUGAAACUAGCGAGGGAAAAAUUGUGUCCGACAAUUGAGCGACUUAGUGCGACACACUUUGUAACACACGUACUUGAGAAUAUUUUGUCAAUACCAUAAACUAUACUGAAAAGGAGUAACUGAAUAUAUGUACUUUCUGCUUUUUGACACAUAUUAUUCUUUGUAAGAUAAAUUUGAUUGAAAUAUUGUUAUUUUAAAUUUUUUAUGGUAUUUCGAUUAAUAAAAAUAAAAAAGAAAUAGUAACUAGAUUCCAAA
rnacentral:misc_RNA from 1 species